UACAGGGGGUGCAAACGUUGCUCGGAAUUAUUGGGCGUAAAGCGCGCGUAGGCGGCUACUUAAGUCGGAUGUGAAAGCCCUUGGCUCAACUGAGGAAGUGCACCCGAAACUGAGUGGCUUGAGUACGAAAGAGGGUCGCGGAAUUCCCGGUGUAGAGGUGAAAUUCGUAGAUAUCGGGAGGAACACCGGUGGCGAAGGCGGCGACCUGGGCAUGUCCUGACGCUGAGGAGCGAAAGUGUGGGGAGCGAACAGG
rnacentral:rRNA from 1 species